UGAGGGCAUGCAGCUGAGGAUUAUGUCCAGAUGGUUUUUUAACAUCUCCAGUGAGGGAGACUCCACAACUUCUCUGGACAAUCUGUUCCA